GCUGUAUGUCACGUCACUUUUUCCUCUUGCUGAUCUGUCCACAGACAGUCCUUGUGUUCUGUCCACUGCUGAGGCUGUAGGGAUUGUGACUGCUGUAAUGCUCAUCACUAUGAUAAUAACGGUUGUGGUGUAUUUAUUCCUGCGCAACAGACGGUAUGUGACUACAAAACAUUUAGCAAAUACAUCAAAAUAUGACAGAAAAAAAUGAGCCAACUAGCGAGCACAAAAUAAUAAUAAUAACAACAACAGAGCUUUUGCUACACAGGGUUUUAAAUGAUCACAUCCAUUUUCAAAGGUUCUCUAAUUUUUCAUAAAAUUUAUUUAGAUCUAUUUUUAUUCUGUUUUUUAUUAAUAUGAUGAAUCCAGCACAUCUGCAUUUGUACGUAUACUGCAGGUAAAACCAAGAUAAUGUGCCAGCAUUAGACAUAUUUAUAAAAACACAACAUACUCCAUCACUGUCUUUAUCUUCACUGAAACUAACACAAAUCACAUAAUGAUAUUAAAUACAGAAUCACAGUAAAACAAUAGUAAAGUGGCUGAGCUGUAACUAAAUUCAUUAUCAUGUUCAGUAUUCAGCAUAAGAUUAUCACAAGACAUUAAAACACCUUUAAUUUUCUCUUUUUAUGUUUUGCUACACAUUGAAGAAGAGCAGUCAGCAAUUUCACUUAUUAUACAACUCAGAGCCCCAGUGACCUACAGGAUGUCACCUAUUCUGAUGUCACAAUACUGAAACCAGGCAAAGCUAACAGAAGCACCUCGUCAUCGGGGGACAUUGAAUACUCUGUGGUUUCCUUCAGUGGUCGGUCAGGAUCAGCGUCCCUGCGAGCCUCAGCCAAUCAGACUGCUUUGGGUUUCCACACAGCAGAGCAUGAAACUGUGUAUGCACAGGUGAAAAAAGACUGAUUUUAAGUACAUCUACUACAGGUUUCUAGGUGUUUGAACAGCAGAGACAAUAAAGGGCUGAUCACAACAAGGACGACAACUAUAAAGUUUUAAUAAUCAUUCUAAUUCUAACAAUAGGGAAGUCCACACCCCAGCUAUAAUGAUAACAAAAGAGGAACAAUAUUGUUGGAAACACUUUUUUUCCAGCUGAUGGAGGAUAAAACAAUUGACCAUCUGACUUUAAAGAGCUUGAGCAUUUAUAGCAGCAGAAAACAAAACUCCAGCUUAUAAUAAACAAAACGUCAUUGUCCGUUAGCUAUGGACAAUUAUGAAUUUAUCGUUAUUGUUAUCGUUCCUGGUGUGAAUGGACUGAUAGCCACCUUUCCCGACUCUCACACUUCACUUCCUGUCAAAACCUACUGUCCUAUCAAAAUAAAAAAGCAAAAAUGGCCAAAAAAAAAAAAAUCUUCCAAAAUGGCCUGAAAACUGAAACUGACAGUGUUUAAAAAGUGUGCUUGUUCUCUUUUUAGAGUUAGACUCGAGUCUGUGCGGUCUAUGCAAAAAAUCUUAGCACUUCUUAAAAUGAAAGAAACUAUCUUAUUUAAAUACAUACCAAUACAUACUUACUGUGAACAUUUA